rnacentral:rRNA from 1 species
CAUAGCUCCAGAAAAAAUCUGAAGUGUAACCUGCCCAGUGGUUUCAAAUUUUAGGAAAUAUAAGUUCCUCAAAGAAACUAAAAGGACGCGGUAACCUUGACCGUGGUAAUGUAGCAUAAUCACUCGCCAUUUAAUUGGUGGAUAGUAUGAAUGGUUGAACGAAUAUUCCGCUGUCUUAAAGAGAAUUAAAAGAAAUUGAAAUGAUAGUUAAGAUGCUAUCUAAAACUGUAAGACGAAAAGACCCUAUAGAGCUUAACUAUAACUUCUUUACCAAAAAAGAAAAUAAAUUCUAAUAAUAAAGAGGCUGGUAGUUUAGUUGGGGCGACUGUCUUCUAAAAAUAACGAAGACAAGCAAUGUUAAUAAAAAACUUAUUGUAUAACAAAACUGUUUAACAAUUAUAAAAAUAGGCUAUAAUGACCCGUUAAUUCUUUAUAAAAAGAUUAACGAUCAAUUAAUAAAAGCUACCUUAGGGAUAACAGGAUAAUUUCAUUUUAGAGCUCGUAUCGAAAAUGAAGUUUGUCACCUCUAUGUUGAAUUAAGAUAUCCUGAUAAUGCAGCAGUUAUCAAUGGUAGGUCUGUUCGACCUUUAAAAUCUUACAUGAU